rnacentral:rRNA from 1 species
UUAAGAGUUCGCCCCUGGCUCAGAUUGAACGCUGGCGGCAGCCCUAACACCUGCAAGUCGACCGGAUGAAGGGAGCUUGCUCCUGGAUUCAGCGGCGGACGGGUGAGUAAUGCCUAGGAACCUGCCUGGUAGUGGGGGAUAACGUCCGGAAACGGGCGCUAAUACCGCCUACGUCCUGAGGGAGAAAGUGGGGGAUCUUCGGACCUCACGCUAUCAGAUGAGCCUAGGUCGGAUUAGCUAGUUGGUGGGGUAAAGGCCUACCAAGGCGACGAUCCGUAACUGGUCUGAGAGGAUGAUCAGUCACACGAACUAAACCGACA